AUGGUGCGACUCCUGCGUGGUUUCUUCUGCCUGGGGGUGGGUUGUUCUGUCUCUGAUUCGCUGCUGGCUAAUGCCUCGCCACCAGGGGUCUCGGCAGCGGCGGCAGCGGCGGCGGCGGCAGCGGCAGCAGCAGCCUCAGCAGCAACUGCGUGGCGAGUGUUAACUGGGGCCUGCCAGCAGCCACAGAGGCAGAGCAAGCAAGAGCCAACCGGCAUUCACACUCAUCCUGGGCUGAAACCAACUACAUCCCAGAAGCCCCCAGGUGCUGCUUGUGAACCCGACGCUCGUCUGGCUUGGCAUGGCUCUCUGCGUUCAUUCCUGUGCCUGUGUUCUGGAUGCCAGGCCCAGUCAUUAAAACAGAUAACUGCUCUUGUUCUUUGGGAGCGCUCUAGUGAGGCCCAGCGGAAACCACAAAGUUGUUAAGAAAUAAUAAAUCACGGGGCACAACAACUUCCAGGAACCCUAAAGCCAACUCUCAACACUU
rnacentral:lncRNA from 1 species